UACAGAGGUCUCAAGCGUUGUUCGGAUUCAUUGGGCGUAAAGGGUGCGUAGGCGGUGCGGUAAGUCGGGUGUGAAAUCUCGGAGCUUAACUCCGAAACUGCAUUCGAUACUGCCGUGCUUGAGGACUGGAGAGGAGACUGGAAUUUACGGUGUAGCGGUGAAAUGCGUAGAUAUCGUAAGGAAGACCAGUGGCGAAGGCGGGUCUCUGGGCAGUACCUGACGCUGAGGCACGAAGGUCAGGGGAGCAAACGGG
rnacentral:rRNA from 1 species